rnacentral:rRNA from 1 species
UUUUAGUGGCGGACGGGUGAGCAACGCGUGGGCAACCUGCCUUACACCGGGGGAUAACACUUAGAAAUAGGUGCUAAUACCGCAUAACAGGAGAACAUGCAUGUGUUUUCCUUGAAAACCACGGUGGUGUAAGAUGGACCCGCGUCUGAUUAGCUUGUUGGCAGGGUAACGGCCUACCAAGGCGACGAUCAGUAGCCGGCCUGAGAGGGUGGACGGCCACAUUGGGACUGAGACACGGCCCAGACUCCUACGGAAGGCAGCAG